rnacentral:tRNA from 1 species
GGCUUGUUGGUCUAGUGGUACGAUUCUUGUUUCGGGUACAGGAGGUCCCGGGUUCAAACCCCGGACAAGCCC